rnacentral:ncRNA from 1 species
UAAACGGCCCUUUUAAGGGUCAUCAAUUUGUUUACAAAAAAAGUCU